rnacentral:piRNA from 1 species
GUUGGAAAUGUCUUACUGUGAUGG